rnacentral:rRNA from 1 species
UACGUAGGGGGCUAGCGUUAUCCGGAAUUACUGGGCGUAAAGGGUGCGUAGGUGGUUUCUUAAGUCAGAGGUGAAAGGCUACGGCUCAACCGUAGUAAGCCUUUGAAACUGGGGAACUUGAGUGCAGGAGAGGAGAGUGGAAUUCCUAGUGUAGCGGUGAAAUGCGUAGAUAUUAGGAGGAACACCAGUUGCGAAGGCGGCUCUCUGGACUGUAACUGACGUUGAGGCACGAAAGUGUGGGGAGCAAACAGG